rnacentral:lncRNA from 1 species
AAAUUAACCUAUAGCAAAUCUAGCCAGUACAACAGAAUUGGGUUAUAGCGACACGUGUUUGGAACACUUUUGUGUAAGUGUCUCAUUUAUGUCAAAAUUUUUAAAAAUCUACUAAUGCCUAAAUAUAAAGCCUAAUCCAACCAAAAAUAAAAGGUUACUCUACUCAACCCACCCCACCCAGCCCAUUCGGUCCGAUUACAAACAGAAAAGAAAAAAAAAAGAAAAAUUGAUUACCAUCUCCUCUUCUCCCUUCACUCAAUCCACUGAAAUUCUAGACGAAGAGCCCUUCACUCUCCUCAUCCUCCGCCACCGCAGCUAAUAAGGUAGAGUUCCGGCGGUUGCUAAAUACUUAAAUAAGUAAAUUAGCAGCACUCUUUUUAGGUUAUACCGACACUCUUUAACUGUCAUUAUAUACCUAAUGACCCCGCAUAUAGCAACACUUUUUAAAAGUGUCGGUAAUUUAGCCAACAACACUUUUUUUGACCUGUACCGACAUUUAAAAGUGUCGCUGUAGACCGUUUUUAUUGUAGUGAGCUAGCUAUUUUCAUAAUAUGUAAUUAAUAAAUUUUGAAUCGAAAUGAUUUGAACAUUAAAAAUAUAUGACCAGUUUGCUUG